GAUGAACGCUGGCGGCGUGCCUAAUACAUGCAAGUCGAGCGAAUGGAUUAAGAGCUUGCUCUUAUGAAGUUAGCGGCGGACGGGUGAGUAACACGUGGGUAACCUGCCCAUAAGACUGGGAUAACUCCGGGAAACCGGGGCUAAUACCGGAUAACAUUUUGAACCGCAUGGUUCGAAAUUGAAAGGCGGCUUCGGCUGUCACUUAUGGAUGGACCCGGGUCGCAUUAGCUAGUUGGUGAGGUAACGGCUCACCAAGGCAACGAUGGGUAGCCAACAUGGGAGGGUGAUCGGCCACACUGGGACUGAGACACGGCCCAGACUCCUACGGGAGGCAGCAGUAGGGAAUCUUCCGCAAUGGACGAAAGUCUGACGGAGCAACGCCGCGUGAGUGAUGAAGGCUUUCGGGUCGUAAAACUCUGUUGUUAGGGAAGAACAAGUGCUAGUUGAAUAAGCUGGCACCCUGACGGUACCUAACCAGAAAGCCACGGCUAACUACGUGCCAGCCGCCGCGGUAA
rnacentral:rRNA from 1 species